UACAGAGGUCUCAAGCGUUGUUCGGAUUCAUUGGGCGUAAAGGGUGCGUAGGUGGCGGGGUAAGUCAGGUGUGAAAUCUCGGGGCUCAACCCCGAAACUGCACUUGAUACUGCCUUGCUCGAGUACUGGAGAGGAGAGUGGAAUUCCUGGUGUAGCGGUGAAAUGCGCAGAUAUCAGGAAGAACACCCGUGGCGAAGGCGGCUCUCUGGGACGGUACUGACGCUGAGACGCGAAAGCGUGGGGAGCGAACAGG
rnacentral:rRNA from 1 species